AGUGGGGGGGAAAUUUAUAUUAUUAGAAAUCUUUUUGUGACUAAAAAAAUAUUUUAAUGCCUUUACUUUUUAACUAUAAUCAACACAAUUAUUCAGGAUGGUUCCCUGCCAGAUAUACAGCUGUUCCAAUGUAAAUACAGUUGUUGGAAUGUAAAUAGCAGUAUCAUAAUGAAAGGCCAGUCUGAAGUUGAAGCAGCUCACACCAGUUCAGCCUGGGUGACCAUUCCUGGUGCAGGCAGUACCUGCUCUUCUGCAGCCCUUGGGGUUAAUGGUGUAGCUGGCAACACCUCCAGGUACAAGGAGUGUAUCUGCUGGGGGUUCUGUGGAAGCCUUUCAACGCUGAGCGACAUUCCCAACCUAUUAAAACAUUGAUGUUGAUGUCUGUUGAUGAUGUUGAUUAUCUGUUCUCAGAUAAUUACAAGCAAAAUAGCAUGCUGUGAUGAAAUGUGUGAGUGUCAGCAUUGCCACCUGCAGUGGAGUGAGUUAGGCUGCACGGAAGUGAUGAUUUGAACAUGAAAGUAUUUGUGCCUAUGGGGUAAAUACAGCAGCUAUGCAACUUGUGCCCUGGUUUCCCAUCAGGGGUGAGGAGCUCUGUGUUGAACCAAACAUGGGGUAAGUUGUCUGGGGGCCAAACACGGUGGCUUGUACAUCUUUACCUCAUGGCACAAUGACAGAAAUACGAAGCAUUUUAAUGUUGCUUUCUUCCUAAAAUUGUUUUAUAAAUGUUAAAUCCUACUAACAGUAGCAAGUGGACCUGUGCGUCACCCAUAGUUAAAAGGAAAGAAAGCCUCCAGCAUCUCCACACAGAAACACGUCCCAAACGCAGCUGUUUGACAAGCAGUGAUGUGCAUUCUGAGGCUUUUCCUGUGUUCUUGAGAAGUAUCUGACAGGGGAAGCAAGCCCCGAAAAGUGGUUUUGCGUAUUCCUCUGGCUGCAGAGAGCAUGAGAGGACAGUUGGGAGCAUCUGCAGUGGUGAUGCCCACUGGUGGACUUUUCCCCAAUGAUUCGCAGUUGUCUCGUACUCAGGACUGACAGGAGAGUGAUCGCUUGCAGAAGGUCCUUCUUCCCUAUCGGUCGUGUAAGAGCCCAAACAAGACGACAACCACUGAGCCUGCUUCCAUUUGAGCCAGAGACGGAACAAGAAGACAAAAUUUGAAGCUGAAACCAAGGAAUGCAUUUAGAGCCUAAUGAAAACA
rnacentral:lncRNA from 1 species